GGGGCCUGCGGAAGGAUCAUUAAAGAGUAAGGGUGCUCAGCGCCCGACCUCCAACCCUUUGUUGUUAAAACUACCUUGUUGCUUUGGCGGGACCGCUCGGUUCCGAGCCGCUGGGGAUUCGUCCCAGGCGAGUGCCCGCCAGAGUUAAACCAAACUCUUGUUAUUAAACCGGUCGUCUGAGUUAAAAUUUUGAAUAUAUCAAAACUUUCAACAACGGAUCUCUUGGUUCUCGCAUCGAUGAAGAACGCAGCGAAAUGCGAUAAGUAAUGUGAAUUGCAGAAUUCAGUGAAUCAUCGAAUCUUUGAACGCACAUUGCGCCCCUUGGUAUUCCGAGGGGCAUGCCUGUUCGAGCGUCAUUACACCACUCAAGCUAUGCUUGGUAUUGGGUGCCGUCCUUAGUUGGGCGCGCCUUAAAGACCUCGGCGAGGCCACUCCGGCUUUAGGCGUAGUAGAAUUUAUUCGAACGUCUGUCAAAGGAGAGGAACUCUGCCGAUUGAAACCUUUAUUUUUCUAGGUUGACCUCGGAUCAGGUAGGGAUACCCGCUGAACUUAA
rnacentral:misc_RNA from 1 species